AUCUGAUUUUUCAUUUACUUUCUAGGGUGUAACCAUAGCUGAUAUUAACGAAACCGCUGGAAGGAAAGCUGUGGAAGAAAUAGAAAACGAAUUCGGAACGAAAAAAGCCCUAUUUAUCAGAACAGAUGUAACCAAAAAAGAAGAAUUCGAAAAUGCCUUCAAAAAAACGGUGGAACACUUCGAAUAUAUCGAUAUUCUUUUGAAUAACGCUGGUAUUAUGAACGAUGCUAUCUGGGAAAAAGAAAUAGACAUCAAUCUU